UGCACCACACGCACCACACCACACACACACACAUACACACACACGAGCAGAGCAAGGGACAGCCAUGUUGUGUGAUCUGGGAGGGUGGCUCAUCCUCUCUGAGUUGUUUAUAAACCGGGCGGGACCCAGGCCUGCCAAUCAAAGGCCUGAUCUGAAUGCUCUUAUUGGUUCAGAGAUGGACAUGUGACCCUCUCUUGGCCAAUCAGAGGCUUUCCUGCUGGAAGGGCUGCUGGAAGCCAUCUUCGCACGGUUCUUCCCUUGGCUUUAGAGCCCCGAAGCGCUCUUUGACUUGAGCUGCUUUGCAUUCUCUCUGUCCUGCCAUCGAGAAAGUUCUGAGCGGCUCAGAAGUAAUACUGACACUAUCAACGGAGGGGGACUGCAGUUUCGCUGGUGGCCCCACAGCCCCCUGCCUCCAGCCAGGGGACAAAGAACAGGAGGGAUCCAGAGCUAUCCCUCCGAGGAAUUCUGCCCCAGACAGCAGAGAGAUGGGGGGCAGGGGACACAUGGCCAUGAGGACAGAGAGCCCUGAGAGGGACUGGGGAAUCGAGACAUCGUUUUCAAAUAAUUGCAGCAAUCAAGAGAGACUGUACAUCCCAUCCCAGACAAAGGGAGACCUGUGAGUCCUGAGUGAGGCAAAAUUUGACUUGAAACAAGUAGCUUGGGCAGGGAGGUGAGCGCUCUGCCCACAGGGAGGAGGUGGAUGAUGAAAGAAAGCGCCGUGGCGAACUCGGUUCUUUGCAAGGGUGCAUCUUUUUGUUGUCUAGGCUGUUGAAAAAUGUGCUCUUUCCUCAUCAGAAAAUGAGAGAAUGGAGCUGGGCGCAGUGGUUCACGCCUGUAAUCCCUGCACUUUGGGAGGCCGAG
rnacentral:lncRNA from 1 species